UACGGAGGUUGCAAGCGUUGUUCGGAAUAACUGGGCGUAAAGGGAGCGCAGGCGGUUCGGUAAGUCUGAAGUGAAAUCCCAGAGCUCAACUCUGGACCUGCUUCGGAUACUGCCGAGCUUGAGUACGUGAGAGGAGAGUGGAAUUCCAGGUGUAGCGGUGAAAUGCGUAGAUAUCUGGAGGAACACCAGUGGCGAAAGCGGCUCUCUGGCACGUUACUGACGCUGAGGCUCGAAAGCGUGGGGAGCAAACGGGAUUAGAUACCCCGGUAGUCCACGCCGUAAACGUUGUGCGCUAGGUGUAGGAGGUAUCGACCCCUUCUGUGCCGCAGCUAACGCAUUAAGCGCACCGCCUGGGGAGUACGCCCGCAAGGGUGAA
rnacentral:rRNA from 1 species